rnacentral:RNase_P_RNA from 1 species
AAAAUAAACCGCCCGAACCUGGUUCGGGUAAGGGUGAAAUGGUGCGGUAAGAGCGCACCGCGCGUGCGGUAACGGACGUGGCAGUGUAAACCCCACUCGGAGCAAGACCAAAUAGGAAUCCAUCGUUGCGGCCCGCAAUUGGAUUCGGGUAGGUCGCUAAAGAUGCAUGGCGACAUGUAUCGUAGAUGAAUGAUUGUCCUCGACAGAACCCGGCUUACGGUCAACUCUCUACU